AUUCCUUACUUCUUCAGGAGAGAGAGAGAGAAGAGGAGUGAAGGCGCUCAAGUUUGUAUUUCAAUUUUUUUCAAACGAAUUUCUUUCAAUUUCUCCUCCUCUCGUUGCUGGUUGCGCAUCAAAACGCAGCAUUUUGCAGAGUUUCUCUCUUAGAAGUAACUCUGUAACUACAUAGCGAUGAACGCUGCAAUUAUCGACCCAUUGCAAGGGGAUUUCCCGGAAGUGAUAGAGGAGUAUUUGGAGUAUGGCGUUAUGAAAUGCAUCGCCUUCAAUCGCCGCGGCACCCUUCUUGCUGCUGGGUGUUCUGACGGAAAUUGCAUCGUAUGGGAUUUUGAGACCAGGGGAAUUGCCAAGGAGCUUCGUGACAGAGAUUGUGUUGCUGCGAUAACUAGUGUAUGUUGGUCAAAGUAUGGGCAUCGCAUUCUUGUGUCUGCUGCGGACAAGUCAUUGACACUAUGGGAUGUUGUCAGUGGUGAGAAGAUAACGCGAACGAUACUGCAACAAACCCCUUUACAAGCUCGGCUUCAUCCUGGUUCGUCUUUUCCAUCUCUCUGCCUGGCAUGCCCCCUCUCAUCUGCUCCCAUCAUUGUUGACUUGAAUACUGGAAGCACAGUUGUUCUUCCAGUUUCCAUUCCUGACUCUAACCCAGGACUUGUCCCUCCGCCACGGAACAAAAUCUCUGAGGGAAGUCCACCUUUCUCUCCUACCGCUGCUUGCUUUAAUAAGUAUGGUGAUCUGGUUUAUGCGGGGAACUCCAAAGGUGAAAUACUUGUAAUAGAUUAUAAAAGUAUUCAAGUGCGUGCCAUGGUUCCCACUUCUGGAGUUUCUGUGAUUAAGAACAUAGUAUUCAGCAGGAAUGGACAGUAUUUGCUUACAAAUUCAAAUGAUAGAACAAUCAGGAUCUACGAGAACCUUCUGCCCUUGAAAGAUGGACUUAAAACCCUGGAUGACAUAAACGAGACCCUUGAUGGAAUUGAUGGUGUUGAGAAGUUGAAAGCUGUUGGAUCAAAAUGCUUAACACUUUUCCGUGAAUUUCAAGAUGCCAUCACAAAGAUGCACUGGAAAGCACCUUGUUUCAGUGGUGAUGGUGAGUGGGUGAUUGGUGGUUCUGCAAGCAAAGGAGAACACAAGAUUUACAUAUGGGAUAGGGCCGGACAUCUUGUGAAAAUUCUUGAAGGGCCAAAGGAAGCCUUGAUUGAUUUGGUGUGGCAUCCUGUUCACCCCAUUGUUGUCUCUGUUUCACUGACUGGUUUGGUUUAUAUCUGGGCUAAAGAUUACACUGAGAACUGGAGUGCAUUUGCUCCUGAUUUCAAAGAGCUUGAGGAAAACGAAGAAUACAUAGAACGAGAAGAUGAGUUUGAUCUAAUACCUGAAGCUGAAAAGGUAAAAGACUCUGAUAUUAAUGAAGAUGAUGAAGUUGAUAUUGUGACAGUGGAGAAGGACUCAGCUUUCAGUGAUUCAGAUAUGUCACAGGAAGAGCUAUGCUUUUUACCUGCAAUUCCUUCUCCUGAUGUUCUGGACCCGCAAGAUAAGUGCAUAGAAAGUUCAUCAAAGCUGGUGGAUAGUAAUUCUGGCUCCCCUAUUUCAGAAGAGGGCACACCAAAUGGACGUGCAAUUAAUCAUGCGUCAAGUCCACUUGAAGAGGAUGCUGGAGCAACACGCUUGAAAAGAAAACGGAAACCUUCCGAGAAGGGGUUGGAGUUUCAGGCUUAGAAGUUGAAGUAAAAUGCUGAGUGAAUUGUGGCAACAUAUAGGAAGAACGAAACAUGUGAAAAGCUUUGGGGAGGUUUUCCUAUUAGAGAUAAAUGACGGCCUUGUUGUGGGAUAUAUUCCUGUACAGUUUCAAAUACAGCAGAGAUGACAACGGUUGAUGCUGCUAGGGAUGACCAUUCUCUUGCAUCUUGACACUUGGGUGCCUAUGGCAAUGAUAAAAUAUUUGCAGUGACUAACAACCGAAGAAGUAUUACAUGUAUCAAUGGCACUGCGAUUAAUUUACCCGAAGCUUAUGAUCACUGUUUUUCCAGAGAUGUCAUAAAUGCCUGUAUCUUCACCCGCAUAGCACCCCGUGGACAAAAUCCUAUUUGGAAUUGGAUUACUUGAUUGAGGUUUUGAGCUAUGUUGACACUUACAGAAAUUUAGGAGGAUGAGGGGAGCUGUGGAUGAUUUUUAGGUAUGUUGUAUGAUUAAAUCAUGUGUAAUGUUGGACAAAGCAGUUUAUAAUCUUAGUUUAGUCAAAAUGACCAAUUUGAUCCCCAUCUUUGGAUGCCUUUUCAGUUAGGUCCGUGUAAUUAUAACCGUCUCUAUCAUGCUUGCGUAGAUUUUUGUUUACAACUGAUGACAAAUUAAAGUUCGUCGGUUAAUUUGAAAUAUCUGAAUCAAGUCUUUGUAUAUA